UAAGGAAUAUUGGUCAAUGGACGCAAGUCUGAACCAGCCAUGCCGCGUGAAGGAUUAAGGUCCUCUGGAUUGUAAACUUCUUUUAUCUGGGACGAAAAAAGGCGAUUCUUCGUCACUUGACGGUACCAGAUGAAUAAGCACCGGCUAACUCCGUGCCAGCAGCCGCGGUAAUCGGAGGGUGCAAGCGUUAUCCGGAUUCACUGGGUUUAAAGGGUGCGUAGGCGGGCAGGUAAAGUCAGUGGUGAAAAUCCUAGAGCUUAACUCUAGAACUGCCAUUGAUACUAUCUGUCUUGAAUAUUGUGGAGGUAAGCGGAAUAUGUCAUGUAGCGGUGAAAUGCUUAGAUAUGACAUAGAACACCUAUUGCGAAGGCAGCUUACUACGCAUAUAUUGACGCUGAGGCACGAAAGCGUGGGGAUCAAACAGGAUUAGAUACCCUGGUAGUCCACGCCCUAAAACGAUGAUUACUCGACAUUUGUGAUACACUAUAAGUGUCUGAGCGAAAAGCAUUAAGUAAUCCACCUGGGGAAGUACGACCGCAAGGUUGAAACUCAAAAGGAAAUUGACGGGGUCAUAGCUGUUUCCUG
rnacentral:rRNA from 1 species